AUUGAACGCUGGCGGCAGGCCUAACACAUGCAAGUCGAGCGGAUGAAGGGAGCUUGCUCCUGGAUUCAGCGGCGGACGGGUGAGUAAUGCCUAGGAAUCUGCCUGGUAGUGGGGGAUAACGUCCGGAAACGGGCGCUAAUACCGCAUACGUCCUGAGGGAGAAAGUGGGGGAUCUCCGGACCUCACGCUAUCAGAUGAGCCUAGGUCGGAUUAGCUAGUUGGUGGGGUAAAGGCCUACCAAGGCGACGAUCCGUAACUGGUCUGAGAGGAUGAUCAGUCACACUGGAACUGAGACACGGUCCAGACUCCUACGGGAGGCAGCAGUGGGGAAUAUUGGACAAUGGGCGAAAGCCUGAUCCAGCCAUGCCGCGUGUGUGAAGAAGGUCUUCGGAUUGUAAAGCACUGUAAGUUGGGAAGAAGGGAAGUAAGUUAAUACCUUGCUGUUUUGACGUUACCAACAGAAUAAGCACCGGCUAACUUCGUG
rnacentral:rRNA from 1 species